AUGGGAUCCGUCCUCGGCCAACAUUGAUGAUACCGAGUGAUGUCGUGCCCGAGCUUAGCAUGACAUCCGUCUUGACGACGUGUUGUAAUCGUCGCGUAUGUUUUCCGCUGCCAAGAACCAUAGCUUUAAUGGUUUGUACUCUUUUCUCUAGAUUUGAAACUUCAUAUUUCUUUUGGAACCUCUUGUAAUGUAAUUCUCUGUAAUGUAAAAUGUGAUGGUGAUUGUAUCU
rnacentral:lncRNA from 1 species